rnacentral:rRNA from 1 species
CGCGUAGGCGGUUAAUUAAGUUAGAUGUGAAAGCCCCGGGCUCAACCUGGGAAGGUCAUUUAAUACUGGUUAACUAGAGAGCAGGAGAGGGAAGAGGAAUUUCCGGUGUAGCGGUGAAAUGCGUAGAUAUCGGAAAGAACACCGAUGGCGAAGGCAUCUUCCUGGCCUGUAUCUGACGCUGAGGCGCGAAAGCGUGGGUAGCGAACA